UAAGACAGAGGGUGCAAACGUUGUUCGGAAUUACUGGGCGUAAAGCGAGUGUAGGCGGUCUCGUAAGUCGGGUGUGAAAGCCCCGGGCUCAACCCGGGAAGUGCACUCGAAACUGCGAGGCUAGAGUACUGGAGAGGUUGGUGGAAUUCUCGGUGUAGAGGUGAAAUUCGUAGAUAUCGAGAGGAACACCGGUGGCGAAGGCGGCCAACUGGACAGAUACUGACGCUGAGACUCGAAAGCGUGGGGAGCAAACAGGAUUAGAUACCCUGGUAGUCCACGCCGUAAACGAUGGGUGCUAGGUGUCGCGGGCUUUGACUCCUGCGGUGCCGUAGCUAACGCAUUAAGCACCCCGCCUGGGAAGUACGGCCGCAAGGCUAAAACUCAAAGGAAUUGACGG
rnacentral:rRNA from 1 species